GAGUAGCCACUCCCGACAACCGUAAUAAUUAACAUCGAAUAACAAAAAGUUACCUUACGAUCGAGGUACGAAAAUGAAAACAGAAUUAGUGCUAGCUAACCAACGACUUAAGAAGGUCAAAUACAGACAAAUAUGUGUUGGAGAAAAAACGGCAGAUGUCAUACAUAAAAGAAUAGGAGAUAUUCAAUAAAUCUAUUUUGGAAUUGCAAUUACAAAGCAAGCUAAAUAUAUCUGUAAAAAUAUAAUAUACCUAAAAUGAACGUCUGCCGUACCUAGAGAAUUAUAAAAUAGAACCAAGCUUUUAACAUCCCACAAAGACAACUUAUAUGGAAAAUGCACUAAGAAUAACAUUCCUAUUAAUUAUCUGGAACGUAAAUCUUCCCUAAGAUGUGUAUACUCAUAGAGCCGCUUACCGUCUGAUAAACCGGCACGUCCAUAAGCCAACACUUGGAAUUAGAGCUGAAGGAAUUUCAUCUAGAUUGGAACAAAGAUAAGUGUACUUAAUUAAUGUUCUCAUUUAUAGACCGAAUUGUGUUCCGCAAUAUAUUAUAUAUUUAUUCUACAUUUGUUGUUAAGCAUUAGAUUAUUUUUUAACUUCCCUUAUCAUAUCUUUUACUAUCGGUUGUGUCUACACAACAAAUAAUAUUUUGUCAAUUUUUCAUCUAAAUCUCAAUGCAUGUAAGGGAACAUAAGUACUUAUAGACCUAGAGCAUUGGUCUCUAUAGGGUUCAUUACAUAAUAACUUAGGUAUUGUGGUAGAUAAUAUACAAGUAUAUUAAUACGGUAUUAUGAAGAAUAUCAUCUGGUUCUGUUGACUAGCACUCACUAUUGUUUUUCUGUCUCUUUAUUGUUUGUAUCUGAAAGAAACGUAAACUCAUAGAAAUCAUUUAAUAGUCGGAAACUUUUACGUUAUCUGCUUAUAUCUUGGCAACCAAAAUUUUAACAUUACUCAUAUUCAUUAUUUAUAUUAUUAAUUAAAUUUUACUAUUAUAUAUUCAUCUUGCAAGCCAAUGUUUUACAUUAUUAUACAUUAUUUAUAUUUUUAGCUAGAAAUUUUACAUUAUAUAUAUAUACAGUAGUUACCAAAAUCUUACUUUACAUAUAUCUAGGUAUUUUUUUUUACACAAUAAAAAUAAGGUAUACCUAUUGGGUUUGUAUCAUUUCACCUGCACCUGAUAUCUCUCAACUAUAUGUGUUCAUAUAAUAUUUUAUUUCAGGAUUAAGUUAUUUGGAUUGUUUAUAUCUUUCUCCUUAUUUCUCUCUCUCUCUUUCUCUCUCUCUCUUUCCCCCUCUCUCUCUCUCUCUCUCUCUAUCUCUCUCUCUA
rnacentral:misc_RNA from 1 species